GGGAGCAAGCUCCUGCUUUUGGCCUUGGCUGCAGAUGAUGGACAGGCUGGUGGUACCCAUGCUUGUAGACUGCUUUGGAGAAUGGGAUCCAGAAUGGGAGCUGGUGCAGAUUUCACAGCACUAGGGGUGGUCUUUGUGGCAUCCCGGAUGAAAAGGCAGAAGGAGCAGCAGAUACAACAGGCAUUCCAGGGGUUCCACAUUCUUUCUCUGGUCUCUUCACCGUCCCAAGAGCUGUAAAGCCUUUUCCAUCUAGAAGUCUGCUACCCCUGUGUCACAUAGCUGUAGAAAGAACUUAACCCUGAUGGUUCACGUAGUGAGCAAGAAUGUUUGCAGGCUGGAGCUAGACCUGAUGCUGAGCACGGAGACAAGUCCCACCUCCCUCAGAAGAGACCGUGCUGGUCGCUAAGGGGCCAUCUCAAUGUGAACAGUUCGCCACCCAGAUUGCCCUGGAACUCCUGCAUAGACAGCCUGGCCUCCAACUUGAAGCAACCCUUCUGUUUUAGCCCCCAGGGUGCAGGGAUUAAAGGAACUUCUCACCAUGGAAGAAUGCAAAUCUCUCAACCCAGAGAUGUUCGUCCCAGGAGAGAGACUGGGGAAGAUGGAAGGUAAGUGUUCUCAGUGCCCAGGGACCGGGAGAUCAAGUUAACGACUGAUGGAAGGGCUCACUCACCAUGACAGACCCUGUCACUUUACAAAUCACCUUGUACAAGAUACUAAAUUACACAGAACGGUAUUGGAAAAUCAGGUUAGGAAGCCACAUACUUUUGUGGGAGAAAGGAGAAGAAGAAACAUGAUCAGCCACCAAUAUAGAAUCACAGUACUUUUCAAGUGAUUAAUAGUUGCUAUUUCCAAUGGUUGAUCUUUAUCUCUUGGAUUAAUAAGCAGUUAAUCUAAGCUAGUUCUCCUCUUCCUCCUCCCCCUUCUUCAAUAGAGUAUCAUGUAGCCCAUGCUGGCCUUGAACUCACCAGGUAGCCAAGGCUGACUUUGAACUCCUGAUCCCUCUGUCCCCACCACCCAGUGAAUACAAGCUGCCUUCUUUUUUGUGAUGGGAUCUCGGUAUUGUGCUGGUUGUCUUUGGAGUCUCUAUAUAGAUACCAAGGUGACAUCAAAUCCCUCUUCUUCCUGCCUCUGCCUCCCGAGUGCUGUGAUUAAGGGGGCCCAGUUUAGGAUCAAUGUUUUCAAAAUG
rnacentral:sRNA from 1 species